CGUUGCAACACCUGGUUACGCCGCGCAAAAUACAAACAAAACAAACCGACCGAUUAAAAUUGUUAUUCAAAAAAAAAUGUUAUUACUUGAUUUCGUCCGUUUUUAAAUUCACCUGGGACCUAGUGCAAUUUUGCGGUUGUUUCUGCUGCCACACAAGGCCAACGGGUAUGUUUUUGGAUUUUUUAGAGAAGUAGCACACAGCGAACAGCUAUAUUCAGAAACGAGUCUUCCUGUUGUAUCGCUCAAACUUACGAACCUGAACCACAGCUUUAUCUCACCGAUGGAAUUAUUUACGAGUUUGACAAAAGCAUUUCGGAUGGUCAAGAAGAAUGAAUGAAAGACUUAAUAUAGGACCUAAUAUACUGUAACCGUUUCCUGUUGAAAAAUUUUUACAGAUCUCCGGAUAAACGAAAGCACUUACGUUUUACAUAUGUACAUGAAAUUGUUGGCGCGGUCCUGGGAACACGAUACACUAAUAGAGUGAUACAAGUGAAAAGGAUCAAAACCGAUCAGCGGAUGCAUUGCUCAGAACUAUACGAUGGAUAAGAUGGACCCAAAAGAUUUCGAAUUUACAAUGUCGUAUCAAGUUAUCUGUAAGCCGUAAGGAGCAGAGGUCGAAUUGGUACCGGAAACGAUUUGUUGUUGAAGAGUUAAUAUCUAAAAAAAUGACCAUCACAUCACAAGUGUGUGUCGAUUAAUCCACUAGGGCUGUGCCAUUAAAUGUUGACAAAAACAAAUAGAACAUAGAGACACUCGAUCCAUCAUUGUAAUUGCAAUUUUAUUGAAUUCGUUAUUCAAUCGUUUGACUCACAGAUUGCCGGAUAAGAAAUAACGUAUAAGUUUGAAAAGAAUCCACUUGGGACUGUGAUCAGUCCCUGGCAUAACAAAUGAUCGUUAGUCGGCCACUUCAUGACGCAGUUAUCGAAUGAUUCUGUUUACUGCUAUUCAUCUAAUUUUCAGUGUCGGAAUAAAUGGCUGAUGUCAAGUAACGAAAUUCCCUAUAGAACAACAGAAAAUACUUUUCCACCAACGUCGACUCGGUUGAAAUCCAAGUUCAACGAACUCCAUUUGGAACUAUAGUGAACUGCAAGUAGAUGUCGAUUACUGCACAGAAUGUAGACUCAAGAAAGUUCAGGACUAUUUCAGCAACACUUUUAUCCCAUCAGAUCUGGACAGAGUGAAAUCAACUUAACUUUAAUAUCAGCUUUAUAAUUUCCGCUGAACAUAAUAUGAAUGGUUCAACGCUGCAGGAUUCAUUCAAAACAUGAGCGUAUGGCAAAAAAGUUGCUGUUUUGUAUCAAGAAGUUUUGCGCCGGCUGUAGGUCGCCAGGAACCGUCCGCAACUACCAAGUAUUACUUUAACUAUACGGAGCCGACGACAAUUACAAAAAAAAGUUUGUAUAUGGGAAGCUUGCCAUUGGCUUACUUCGUUCUGUUCUCAGUUUUUGACAAACUCAUCCUAAACCAAUGAUGUAGCAG